UACGAAAGGUGCAAGCGUUAAUCGGAAUUACUGGGCGUAAAGCGCGCGUAGGCGGUGUGUUAAGUCGGAUGUGAAAGCCCAGGGCUCAACCUUGGAACUGCAUCCGAUACUGGCACGCUAGAGUGCAGUAGAGGGAGGUGGAAUUUCCGGUGUAGCGGUGAAAUGCGUAGAGAUCUGAAGGAACAUCAGUGGCGAAGGCGACUCACUGGGCCAUUACUGACACUGAGGUGCGAAAGCGUGGGUAGCAAACAGG
rnacentral:rRNA from 1 species